CGGCGGACGGGUGAGUAACGCGUGGGUAACCUGCCUCAUACAGGGGAUAACAGUUAGAAAUGACUGCUAAUACCGCAUAAGACCACAGCACCGCAUGGUGCAGGGGUAAAAACUCCGGUGGUAUGAGAUGGACCCGCGUCUGAUUAGGUAGUUGGUGGGGUAACGGCCUACCAAGCCGACGAUCAGUAGCCGACCUGAGAGGGUGACCGGCCACAUUGGGACUGAGACACGGCCCAA
rnacentral:rRNA from 1 species